GAUGAAGAACGCAGCGAAAUGCGAUAAGUAAUGCGAAUUGCAGAAUUCCAGUGAGUCAUCGAAUCUUUGAACGCACAUUGCGCCCUUUGGUAUUCCGAAGGGCAUGCCUGUUCGAGCGUCAUUAUCACCCCUCAAGCCCUCGGCUUGGUGUUGGACGGUUUGGUGGAGGCCCCCUCGGGGGUUCCUGCCCCUCCCAAAGACAAUGACGGCGGCCUCGUUGGACCCCCGGUACACUGAGUUCUUCACGGGACACGUAUAGGACACAUGGGUUUACGGGACACGGUCUGCCUCCCCUCAGGGAGAAUCUUUCUAAGGUUGACCUCGGAUCAGGUAGGGAUACCCGCUGAACUUAAGCAUAUCAAUAAGCGGAGGA
rnacentral:misc_RNA from 1 species